CAUGAGCCACUGCGCCCGGCCUCAACCUUUAUAUCGUAAGUAGCUCACACUGACCCCAGCCAAACUCUGCAUUCAGACUCAUCUGGGUUCCAAUCUGCUCUGCCCCGGCCAGCUGUACCUGCUGAGGAAGCAGCUUCCCCUCUCUGAACCACAGCAUCUCCAUCUGUCUGGGGAGCUAAGGGGUCCCUACUAUGACAGGUUGUCCUGAAGGUUACAUAAAAAAUGACAGUGAGGGUUCCCACUCCUGGGUGCACUUCAUGGAACAAUGAGGACUCCCCAGCCCCAGGCCUACAUCUGUACCAAAAUGGGGACAAGGGUUGGGGGGGAGAAAGAGACCUCAGGAUAUUUUUCAGCUCUUCAGCUGAUUCUGAUGCUCACACAGGGCAUGGAUGGCCAAGACAGAUAGUGCCACUGCAGGGCUGUGCAUGGCCUUUGGUAUGAACUUGGGGUUUAACAAGCGGUGGCCGGCAUUACAAUGAGGCAGCAGAGUGUGGUGGGCAGGGGAGUCUAGAGCCAGUCAGCCUGGCUAGAACCACAAUGCUGCCACUCCCCACCUGUGUGGCCUGAGCAUGGCAUUAAAAACAAAUAAGAAUAGUAGCAGCAGUUACCGUGACAACAUGCUGGUCAUAAUCAAGGCCAGACCCUGGGCUAAGUGUUUCACAUCCUCAGAAGAGAGACACAGAAAGGCUAAGUCACUUCCUCAAGGUCACACAGCUGAGAGAGGUGGAGCUGGGAUUCCUAGCCAGUCCUCAAUACUGUCCCACCUCCCCGCUUUACUUUUCUCACCCAGGAAACCAGGAUAACAACAGAAUCUACUCCCAGCAGUGUUGUGAGGAUUUGGAGCAUUGCGUCAGGGAAAGCCCGUUGCUGAGUGCCUGGCACGUGGGGAAGAGUGGGUGGAAGAACAUGCUUCCUCUCAUCACUGUGCCCCCAUCUGAGAGCUUUCAGGACAUCAAGAAUUCAAGAGGGGAUGAAGUCCACGCUGCUAACACCAUCACAUUGUAUUUGAAAACACAAUCUUUAGAGGAAAAAAAUAACUUCAGAUGGAUAUAUGAUUAUGUAAGAAAUCAGGCUGGCCGUGGUGGCU
rnacentral:lncRNA from 1 species